CGUGUGGGCCUGCGUGUUGCCGUCUAGAGCUGAGUCGGUCGUAGCAGUGGUUCCAGUGUAUGGCUACAUCGGUUCUAUUAUGUUGACCUGUUCUUACGACCUGGAUUUACUGACUCCAUUUUUCUAGGAUCUACUCAUAAGGAUAAUCCAUCGGCAGGACUUUAUCGCUUCUAUUAUUUAGAUGAUCUACUGUAACAAUUUAGAUUCUGGAAAUAAAUGAAAAUAUUCAGAAAAAGCGGAUAAACAUUCCGAAAUAAUUUGAAAACUAAAAGCAAGCCCCUGAGGUCACUUUGACCCAGAAGAUUCAAGGAAUAUCUUAAACUCAG